AAGACUAUACUUUCAGGGAUCAUUUCUAUAGUUUGUUACUAGAAUGUCUGGUAAAUGAGUAUGCUUUUAUAUGUGUGGGGGAUAUGGUGGUAUGGUGGUGGCCACAUG
ensembl:snoRNA U3 Small nucleolar RNA U3